AGGCGGCUUUGGGGGCCUUCGUACCUCUAAACUGUAACAGAAGUAGAAGACGCAUUCGGCCCAGUCCAGCUGCCGACAGAGACAAACGCACAGGCUAGGGCCUGGGCAGGACCAGGGAAAGAGUGUGUCCCCAACAAGAUCUCCAGCAGGCCCCGGAUUCGACUCCACAGUCCUGAGGACGACUUCCCAUUUCCUGCUGGAACUCUGGUGCUCUAGCUUGCUGCCCACCUACUCAGCGGGGGAAAGGACGUUUCAGGCCCUGACUCCUCAUGCCCAGGAGGAUGCCAUGGGGACCAGCAGCUGCCAAGGACAACUGAGCAUUUGCCACGUGUCUUCGUGAGGAAACAGGCACAGACUGGCUAAGAGACUUACCCAAGGUUGCAGAGCUGGUGAACACAAGAAGUGGAACCCGGCAGCGGGUGCAGAGGCCUGCUCCUGUCCUGCCUCUCCAAGAAGUUGGCUGGGCAGGUGAGGCCUGAUGCACGCCCAGGCCUCUGACAAGUGGCCUUAAGAAAGUGGGUCUCCUUGCUGUGUCCCUGGAAGGAAGAAACGGAGCCCGGAACUCUUCCCUUCGUGUUUCCUUCUGCCGAGGAGCUGAGGCCCUCCUGGGGGAGGGGUGGGCAGGCAGCGCUUCCGCUGCACAGGUGGGCACUCAGGGCCAGGCAGACACCUCAUUAGCAGCUCCUGAUCAGCUGCAUCCAGAGGGGAAGGUGAACCAUACCAGCUUCUGGGUGGGCCGGGAGGAGUGGCCCGC
rnacentral:lncRNA from 1 species